CAGUAGCCGCGGGAAAACGAAGGGGGCUAGCGUUGUUCGGAUUUACUGGGCGUAAAGCGCACGUAGGCGGAUCGAUCAGUCAGGGGUGAAAUCCCAGAGCUCAACUCUGGAACUGCCUUUGAUACUGUCGAUCUGGAGUAUGGAAGAGGUGAGUGGAAUUCCGAGUGUAGAGGUGAAAUUCGUAGAUAUUCGGAAGAACACCAGUGGCGAAGGCGGCUCACUGGACGACUGUUGACGCUGAGGUGCGAAAGCGUGGGGAGCAAACAGGAUUAGAUACCCCUGUAGUCCCUGUCUCUUAUAC
rnacentral:rRNA from 1 species